AUUGAACGCUGGCGGCAUGCCUUACACAUGCAAGUCGAACGGCAGCACGGGAGCAAUCCUGGUGGCGAGUGGCGAACGGGUGAGUAAUACAUCGGAACGUGCCCAGUAGUGGGGGAUAGCCAGGCGAAAGCCGGAUUAAUACCGCAUGAGACCGGAGGGUGAAAGCGGGGGAUCGCAAGACCUCGCGCCAUUGCAGCGGCAGGUGUCAGAUUAGCUAGUUGGUAGGGUAAAGGCCUACCAAGGAAACGAUCUGUAGUUGGUCUGAGAGGACGACCAGCCACACUGGGAAUGAGACACGGCCCAGACUCUUACGGGAGGCAGCAGUGGGGAAUUUUGGACAAUGGGCGCAAGCCUGAUCCAGCAAUGCCGCGUGCAGGAAGAAGGCCUUCGGGUUGUAAACUGCUUUUGUCAGGGAAGAAAUCUUCUGGGCUAAUACCCUGGGAGGAUGACGGUACCUGAAGAAUAAGCACCGGCUAACUACGUGCCAGCCGCCGCCGUAAAAC
rnacentral:rRNA from 1 species